AUACGGAGGAUGCAAGCGUUAUCCGGAUUUAUUGGGUUUAAAGGGUGCGUAGGCGGGACUGUAAGUCAGGGGUGAAAUACUGCAGCUUAACUGUAGCAUUGCCUUUGAAACUGCCGUUCUUGAGUACAGUUGAGGUAGGCGGAAUGUGGUGUGUAGCGGUGAAAUGCAUAGAUAUACCACAGAACGCCGAUUGCGAAGGCAGCUUACUAAGCUGUUACUGACGCUGAGGCACGAAAGCGUGGGGAUCAAACAGGAUUAGAUACCCUGGUAGUCCACGCUGUAAACGAUGAUUACUGGUUGUUAGCGAUAUAUAGCUAGUGACUGAGCGAAAGCAUUAAGUAAUCCACCUGGGGAGUACGGCCGCAAGGUUGAAACUCAAAUGAAUUGGCGGGG
rnacentral:rRNA from 1 species